rnacentral:rRNA from 1 species
GACGAACGCUGGCGGCGUGCUUAACACAUGCAAGUCGAACGGAAAGGCCCUGCUUUUGUGGGGUGCUCGAGUGGCGAACGGGUGAGUAACACGUGAGUAACCUGCCCUUGACUUUGGGAUAACUUCAGGAAACUGGGGCUAAUACCGGAUAGGAGCUCCUGCUGCAUGGUGGGGGUUGGAAAGUUUCGGCGGUUGGGGAUGGACUCGCGGCUUAUCAGCUUGUUGGUGGGGUAGUGGCUUACCAAGGCUUUGACGGGUAGCCGGACUGAGAGGGUGACCGGCCACAUUGGGACUGAGAUACGGCCCAGACGCCUACGGGAGGCAGCAGUGGGGAAUAUUGCACACUGGGCGGAAGCCUGAUGCAGCAACGCCGCGUGCGGGAUGACGGCCUUCGGGUUGUAAACCGAUUUCGCCUGUGACGAAGCGUGAGUGACGGUAAUGGGUAAAGAAGCACCGGCUAACUACGU